rnacentral:rRNA from 1 species
CCGUACACAAAAGCGCAUGUGCUGUGAGCUCGAUGAGUAGGGCGGGACACGUGGUAUCCUGUCUGAAUAUGGGGGGACCAUCCUCCAAGGCUAAAUACUCCUGACUGACCGAUAGUGAACCAGUACCGUGAGGGAAAGGCGAAAAGAACCCCGGCGAGGGGAGUGAAAAAGAACCUGAAACCGUGUACGUACAAGCAGUGGGAGCACCCUUCGGGGUGUGACUGCGUACCUUUUGUAUAAUGGGUCAGCGACUUAUAUUCUGUAGCAAGGUUAACCGUAUAGGGGAGCCGUAGGGAAACCGAGUCUUAAC